UUCAUUGCAUUUAGAGGAGGAAUCCUGCAUGGUUCUUAGAUUCAGGGACACAAAGAUGGGGCUAGGAUUGCAACUGCAGCAAAAGCAAAGCAAGCCCCCUAUGCAAUGGUCCCAUUUUCCACACCUUCCUGAGCCACGUGGACACCAGCCCUUCUGUGACGACAAUCAGGAGUCCUCUUCCCAGCAGGCAAAAGGGACAUGCUGUGUUUCUAUGGCAACACUUCUGCCUUUGGAUAUAUGAAUAAAAGAUUUCCACUUGUGCA